rnacentral:rRNA from 1 species
AACAGGAUUAGAUACCCUGGUAGUCCACGCCGUAAACGAUGUCUACUAGCUGCUCGUGUCCUUGUGAUGUGAGUAGCGCAGCUAACGCACUAAGUAGACCGCCUGGGGAGUACGGUCGCAAGAUUAAAACUCAAAUGAAUUGACGGGGGCCCGCACAAGCGGUGGAGCAUGUGGUUUAAUUCGACGCAACGCGAAGAACCUUACCUACUCUUGACAUCUACGGAAGACUGCAGAGAUGCGGUUGUGCCUUCGGGAACCGUAAGACAGGUGCUGCAUGGCUGUCGUCAGCUCGUGUUGUGAAAUGUUGGGUUAAGUCCCGCAACGAGCGCAACCCCUAUCCUUAGUUGCCAGCGAGUUAAGUCGGGAACUCUAGGGAGACUGCCGGUGAUAAACCGGAGGAAGGUGGGGACGACGUCAAGUCAUCAUGGCCCUUACGAGUAGGGCUACACACGUGCUACAAUGGUACGUACAGAGGGAGGCAAGCUGGCGACAGUGAGCGGAUCUCCUAAAGCGUAUCGUAGUCCGGAUCGCAGUCUGCAACUCGACUGCGUGAAGUCGGAAUCGCUAGUAAUCGCAAAUCAGAAUGUUGCGGUGAAUACGUUCCCGGGCCUUGUACACACCGCCCGUCACACCAUGGGAGUGGGUUGCAAAAGAAGUAGGUAGCUUAACCUUCGGGAGGGCGCUUACCACUUUGUGAUCCAUGACUGGGGUGAAGUCGUAACAAGGUAACC